rnacentral:rRNA from 1 species
UACGUAGGGUGCGAGCGUUAAUCGGAAUUACUGGGCGUAAAGCGUGCGCAGGCGGUUGUGCAAGACAGAUGUGAAAUCCCCGGGCUCAACCUGGGAACUGCAUUUGUGACUGCACGGCUGGAGUGCGGCAGAGGGGGAUGGAAUUCCGCGUGUAGCAGUGAAAUGCGUAGAUAUGCGGAGGAACACCGAUGGCGAAGGCAAUCCCCUGGGCCUGCACUGACGCUGAGGAGCGAAAGCGUGGGGAGCGAACAGG